GUCCAGCCUGGAAGAGAAUGAGAGCACAUCAUUCAAGGCAGAGCACCUCCCCACCAGGAUAUCCUGGCUGGCUGCUGGUGGCCUGCGCUCUCUGCAAACUCCUUGGCCUCAAAUUCUUGCUUUAUGAAAGACCUGAAGCAUACUCCAGUGAUCAGUUAGUGGAGAAUUAACUUCUGGAACAGUCUCAAAGAUUUUUCUUGAAAAAGUUUGACAAAAUAUUUUCCUUCUCAUGAUUUUGUCAUAAUUUGUUCAUCGGAUGAGAAUGGCAAGAAAGGGAAGUGAGAUGGGUAUUUCAGCUAUCUUCUGGAGAUCAUCAAGCACAUGCCUUGUAAAAGAAGUCUUUUCAUUAUGUCAGCAAAGAAAUCUGCAAGAAAGAAAGUUACCUUUGACAGAGAUUUUAUGUCAGAACUUUGUAUUAACAUAUUGAAGCAUGGAUUCAGAAAAAAAAGAAAAGAAAAAUCAGGUAAACAACAUACAAAUUGAACACAGGUUCAUGAACUUUCUAUCUGAAAUGCCAUGCAGCUCUGCUGAUCUUUGAUAGUUUACUCCAGAACAUAGUUUGGUCCAAUCCACACAGAAUAUUUUUAUAGCUUUAAAAGUGGCCUCUAAAAGAGGGUGAAAAAACACAGUUGCUCUUUCUACCUCUGAUGGAAAAAUUAGGAAUUCAGUUUUAGAUUUUUUUUAUUUUCUUAUUUUUAUUUCCAUUAAAAGAAAAUACAAAAGGAGGAAAGACUUCUUCAUACAAACAAAAAAUAAGGUAAGGUGAGGUGAAGAUAGGCAGGGACAGAAUGUUAACAAUGUGGAGCUGGGUACUCUGGAGAAUAGUCAUUCCUCUUUUGAUUGAAGAUGAGGUGCCAGAGGUGGUUUGUUAUGGUGCCUUCUAAUAGCUGUAGUGAAAGACAGAUAAAAAUAUAUACACAUUAGUGGGAGCAACAACCAGAACACAUUAAUGAAGUAGAGGUGAUUGACCUAAGAGGUGUAAUAGGUAGUCUUUUUUUUUUCCCUAAAAGAGUCUAGCUUUUGAUAACUUAGUAAGAUGUUGUCUAGGUAAAAUUAUAUGCGAAACCUGUGUACCCUCAAGUGCUUGAUUAAUAUAUUCAUAGGGUCUGAAAAAACACAUAGGGCUAGAAGGUGGACAACAAUUAGGCAUCUAUGACCCUUUGGCGUAUCUCUAUACCAGAAUGGUAUCAAAACUAUGAGAUCAUAUGAAUACGUCAUGUAAAGACAGUUUGUGUUGUUCUGAAAACAGCCUUGGGGUUUUUUCGACAGUAGUAGAAAUACACAGUUAUAAUAAGCAAUAUCAAACAUCUGUGAUGGGAAACAAACUGAAGGCAUCAGAUCCAGAAGCAUCUAAGCUGGAUGACAGCCAAGUGAAUUGGGUUUCCUUCCCCUUCCUCCUCCCAGCCUUCCUUUCCCCUUCCCAUGCAAAAUUAAUCAAGGCAUUAUUUGUUGAGAUUUUCUUAAUGUAUAUGCUUUCUCAGUUAAUCAAGGCAUCAGUGGCUAAGGAAUCAAAGCAAAUUCAGACUAAAAUAGAUAAGAUUCUGAAUUAAUCAGAUUUAUCAACUUAUUAGGAGCAAAUAAGAGAAAAAAACUGGUCCAUAAAACAUCACUACUGGGGCAUACUAUGCCAGGGUUCUGGUGUUUGUUUCUGUUGCUUCAGUAUACUGCAUAUGAGUUAAGUUGGAGAUGGCAUGGAUUGCUUGCUUGUAUCCGUUUCUGGAACCAUCAAUGUAUAUGUUACCUUUGUAGUAUGAGUGAUAUCAUGUUGCAUCGCUAUUCAAUAUUGACAGACACUCUUGGGUACCAAAAUAUUUUUGCUAAUGUUUCUACUGCCAUUGAAAGGAGUUUCAAUAAUAAGUGUUUAAAGCAGAGCAGUAAUGCUAGACUGUGCUAUAAAAGUUCAUGUCCAGUAAAUCAACAGAGAUACUCCAAGGAAUGAUUAAAUAAUCUAGUGGAAUUUGCAGACUGUUUUCCCUGGGAAUGUCCUCAGUUUAUUACACAUAGUUGUUGAUACAGGAAGAACUCUUCCAAAGGUGGGUGCUUUCUAUGAGUCUCUAG